rnacentral:rRNA from 1 species
UACGGGGGGGGGCAAGCGUUGUUCGGAAUUACUGGGCGUAAAGGGCUCGUAGGCGGCCAACUAAGUCGGACGUGAAAUCCCCAGGCUUAACCUGGGAACUGCAUCCGAUACUGGAUGGCUUGAAUUCGGGAGAGGGAUGCAGAAUUCCAGGUGUAGCGGUGAAAUGCGUAGAUAUCUGGAGGAAUACCGGUGGCGAAGGCGGCAUCCUGGACCGACAUUGACGCUGAACGGCGAAAGCUAGGGGAGCGAAACGGG